rnacentral:rRNA from 1 species
UACAUAGGGAGCAAGCGUUAUCCGGAUUUAUUGGGUGUAAAGGGUGCGUAGACGGGAAAAUAAGUUAGUUGUGAAAUCCCUCGGCUCAACUGAGGAACUGCAACUAAAACUAUUUUUCUUGAGUGCAGGAGAGGAAAGUGGAAUUCCUAGUGUAGCGGUGAAAUGCGUAGAUAUUAGGAGGAACACCAGUGGCGAAGGCGGCUCUCUGGUCUGCAACUGACGCUGAGGCUCGAAAGCAUGGGUAGCGAACAGG